rnacentral:rRNA from 1 species
CCCCCCCCAAGGGGGGGGGGGGCCUUUCCCUUCCGGGGGGGGCACAGUGGGGAAUAUUGCACAAUGGGCGCAAGCCUGAUGCAGCAACGCCGCGUGAGGGAUGACGGCCUUCGGGUUGUAAACCUCUUUUAGUAGGGAAGAAGCGAAAGUGACGGUACCUGCAGAAAAAGCACCGGCUAACUACGUGCCAGCAGCCGCGGUAAUACGUAGGGUGCAAGCGUUGUCCGGAAUUAUUGGGCGUAAAGAGCUCGUAGGCGGCUUGUCGCGUCUGCUGUGAAAUCCCGGGGCUCAACCCCGGGCCUGCAGUGGGUACGGGCAAGCUAGAGUGCGGUAGGGGAGAUUGGAAUUCCUGGUGUAGCGGUGGAAUGCGCAGAUAUCAGGAGGAACACCGAUGGCGAAGGCAGAUCUCUGGGCCGCUACUGACGCUGAGGAGCGAAAGCAUGGGGAGCGAACAGGAUUAGAUACCCUGGUAGUCCAUGCCGUAAACGUUGGGAACUAGAUGUAGGGCCUGUUCCACGGGUUCUGUGUCGUAGCUAACGCAUUAAGUCCCCGCCUGGAGACGCCGACUGG